rnacentral:tRNA from 1 species
GCCGCCGUAGCUCAGCCUGGUAGAGCGCCGGCCUCGUAAGCCGGUGGUCGCGGGUUCGAAUCCCGCCGGCGGCUCCA